GAACGCUNCGGCAGGCUUAACACAUGCAAGUCGAGGGGUAACGAUGAUUGCUUCGGUAAUCAGGCGACGACCGGCGAACGGGUGCGUAACGCGUAUGCAACCUACCCAUAACAGGAGGAUAGUCAAGAGAAAUUUUGAAUAAUACUCCAUAGUAAUAAGAUUGAGCAUUCAGUUUUAUUUAAAGCUCCGGCGGUUAUGGAUGGGCAUGCGUCCCAUUAGUUAGUUGGUAAGGUAACGGCUUACCAAGGCCACGAUGGGUAGGGGUCCUGAGAGGGUUAUCCCCCACACUGGUACUGAGACACGGACCAGACUCCUACGGGAGGCAGCAGUGAGGAAUAUUGGGCAAUGGACGGAAGUCUGACCCAGCCAUGCCGCGUGCAGGAUGACUGCCUUAUGGGUUGUAAACUGCUUUUACGAAUGGAUAAACUUAGGUACCGUGUACCUAACUGAAGGUAAUUUGUGAAUAAGCAUCGGCUAACUCCGUGCCAGCAGCCGCGGUAAU
rnacentral:rRNA from 1 species